UACGGGGGGGGCAAGCGUUGUUCGGAAUUACUGGGCGUAAAGGGCUCGUAGGUGGCCAACUAAGUCAGACGUGAAAUCCCUCGGCUCAACCGGGGAACUGCGUGUGAUACUGGCGGGCUUGAAUUCGGGAGAGGGAUGCGGAAUUCCAGGUGUAGCGGUGAAAUGCGUAGAUAUCAGGAAGAACACCCAUGGCGAAAGCAGCUCUCUGGGACGGUACUGACGCUGAGACGCGAAAGCGUGGGGAGCGAACAGG
rnacentral:rRNA from 1 species